UGCUUUGUAGCUUAGCUUGUAAGGCAAGGUACCUGCAGCAUCUGGAAAUUCUGUUCCUGUUGUUGAUUCGAUUCCAUCCGAAGCAG